rnacentral:pre_miRNA from 1 species
AAUAUACUCCCUCCGUCUCAAAAUUCUUGUCUUAGAUUUGUCUAAAUACGGAUGUAUCAAGUCACGUUUUAGUAUUAGGUACAUCCGUAUCUAGACAAUUCUAAGACAAGAAUUUUGAGACGGAGGGAGUAUAAG